UGAGACAGCUUCAAUACGUGCAGCCACACCCUGGUGUGGGGACCCAGGGUGUUUUUCAAUGGUUAGAAAUAAUGAAAGCUGCUGCUCCUGUGAGUCACUCAAAUUCCCACCGUGUACUCUUGCUAAGUGAUUUCACCUCUGCUUCCCUGUGCUCCUCAGCACUGUGCCUACUCAUGCUGCUGAAGUUCAUUUUUGAUCUCGCACCUUCAUUUAAGCCUUUUUCUGUUUGUCUGGAGCUGCAGGUUUAGCAGAAGGAUCUGUGUUUACUUUCAGCUGGGUGAAAUAUUUAUGCCUGGCAUCUUGUUUGCAGGAGUAGUGGGGUAGGUGAUUUCCCAAGUGGGAUCUUCAUCACACAGAGUAGGAAACUUUUGUUUUUCCCUUCCUCUUGUGAUGGUGUUUUCCAAAACUGUUAAUGCAAAGCAGGGCUGGGCAGUAGCUACAAAAUAUGGAUGCAGAUCUAGAUUCUGAAGUCACAGGGUUUUGCCUGAUUCCCCAAAACACUGAGGGCAUAUCUGUGGUGGAUGCUACCUUACCUUGCCAGGGAUCAAACUGAAAAUAUGCAGAGCUGGAAGCCCAGUGUAUGGACCAUUAAUGGUUGAGUUAGUAGGUGUUAGCCAUGUACAUAUUGUCCUUUUCUAUGGCUGAAGCACAAAAAGUUGUAGUGUUUGUUUCUUCCUUUUUCCAGGUCUCACCAGGUCCAACCCAAAGGAGAUGAGCGGGUUUGAGCUAUGUUUGCACUGUCUGGCCAGGAAGAGAGGACUCAUCUCUGCCACAAAGCUCUCAGUGUGGUUUGUGCUGAAGUGGGAUCCCACAUCUGGGAUCUACCCAAGAGCUACAUCAUACUGUCUUAGAGAUAGGAAGGCUUCACAAAGGGAAGACUUUGAAUCAGGAGUCCGCUGUGCAUUGCAACAUUUAUCGCUGUGAUUCACGUACCUCCAGUGUUACUGCAAAUCCAGGCAAAGUGUGAAAUGAUUCUCUUCUCUUAUCUUUGAGGAAAUGCAACGUGCUCCAACCACGCUGACUCUGAAAGUCAGUUCUACCCUGCUUUGAGCCACAGAAAUUGUCAGGAUUUUUGAAAAAGCUCAACAAACCUCAACACCACAAUCUAGCCAAUUAAUUUUGAAGUGCUUUGGGAACAACUCGGGUUUUUUUCUUUUCAUCUUAUUCAGUUCCAUAGAAACCCUUGGAGUUCUGCAGGUACAUACCAAGUUAUGAAGGAGCUGGAGGCACUAAGAGAGAGAGAGCUGGAACAUGAUUAACAACUGUCAAAUUACAGGGAACACUUUAAAAUCCCUUAAACCUCUCCCCUCCCCUACUUCAUCCUGGCAACUAGGACAUGAGCCUUUGGCUAGGCUGUCUUUCCCUGAGGCAGUCCCUUCACUUGAGGGAGGAGAUAAUCUGAAACCACAGGCAAGGGGUUCAAAAACGUCAUGACAAAAUCCAAUGACAUGGAAAAAAAGAAGAGAGACUGGGUGAGCUGUAGCACAGAGGAUCAUGUGUAUGCCAUCACCAGUCUUCAGACUUUCAUCAUAACCACAGCUUGACUGCCAGUUGCAGCAGCUAAGUUUUCACCAUGGAACCUGUGGCUAAAGGAGAGAUCCAGCAAGAAGGAGAAUGAAGGCUUGUGCUUCUGCCAGUUCACUCGCUACUUAGCCCUGGGCUGGGAGCAUGGUGCCAUAUGCAGAGCAUGAAGCAGGAUACAGUGAAUUUAUUUCUUUAGCACUUUUGAACACCACCAUGUCUGUGUAUGCAGUGUGUGGGAUUUGUCAUGCAAACACCAAUGUUGUUUUAGAUACCCUUAAAUAGGCUUUGAAAGGGAUCUCAAAGAAUACAAGAUACUGAAGAACUGACUGACACUUUCUGUGUACGGCACAGGACCGUGAGACACAGCUCCUGAACUGUGAGCACUUGCUCUUGC